GGGGGCAUCCUUGAGCUGAGCCUUAAUGUCCAAGUAGGAUGUAGCUGGGUGAAAGGAACAUGGGUGACGGUGGGGAGGAUGGGGGAGGGCAUCCAGGAGGAGGUACAGUGUGAGCAAAAGCUGGGAGGCUGGAGAGCAGGACACCGUAAAACAAUGGGUGUUGAAUGAGCUAACCUGACAGUCCCUGGGGAGUGGGGAGGCUGGGCGGCCCCUCCCUUCCAUGGGGCAUGGAGGGUUUGUUGUUGUCCCCACCCCCACUGCAGCAGCUGGCCGGCCCCGGGGCUGUCCCUUUGGCAGAGCCUUUUCCAGCCACCUCUGGGGCUCCCCGGGCCGGCCCCGCCCCUCGGGCUGCGCUGGAGGCAGGGGCGGGGCCAGGCGUCCCGGAGCCGGGCGGGAGCGCGCCGGGAGCAGGUGGAGGGCUGGCGGCGGCGGCGGCGGCGGCGGGGCUCGGCCUCCCCGGCCAAAGCACCGGCUCCCACCUCUCCCCUCCUCGCCUGCCCCCCCCACCCCCCCGAUGCCUACCAGACUUUUGCCUGGGCCGGGGCCCCUGCCGAACCAGCCUCGCCUCCCUGUCGGGUGGGGAUUCGGGGGCUGAGCUGUCUGGGGUCCCAGGGCCAAUGCAGUGCCGCCUCGUCCGGGGCCUGGCGGGAGCCCUCCUCACCGUUCUGUGCAUGGGGCUCGUCUCCCUACGGUACCACUCGAGCCUGUUUCCACAGAGCAUGCGGGAGACCCCCGGACUGAGCCCGCCAAGCCCUCUGUCCCCCGAGCUGCGGCUGCACGAUGUCUUCAUUGCAGUCAAGACGACCCGAGCCUUCCACCGCUCCCGCCUGGAGCUGCUGCUCGACACGUGGGUCUCCAGGACCAGGGAACAGACGUUUGUCUUCACCGACAGCUCAGAUGAAGGCCUCCAGGAGAGACUGGGGUCCCACCUUGUGGUCACCAACUGCUCUGCUGAGCACAGCCACCCCGCCCUGUCCUGCAAGAUGGCUGCUGAGUUUGACACCUUCUUGGCCCGUGGGCUGUGGUGGUUCUGCCACGUGGAUGACGACAACUAUGUGAACCCAAGGGCACUGCUGAAGCUGCUAAAAGCCUUCCCGCAGACUCACGAUGUCUACGUAGGCCGGCCCAGCCUGAACCGGCCUAUCCGCGCUUCUGAGCCGAGGCCCCACAACCGCACGAGGCUGGUACAGUUCUGGUUUGCCACCGGGGGUGCUGGCUUCUGCAUCAAUCGCAAACUGGCUUUGAAGAUGGCCCCGUGGGCCAGCGGCUCCCGCUUCGUGGAAACGUCUGCCCUCAUCCGAUUGCCUGAUGACUGCACUGUGGGCUACAUUGUCGAGUGCAAGCUAGGUGGCCGCCUGCAGCCCAGCCCCCUCUUCCACUCCCACCUGGAGACCCUGCAGCUGCUGGGGGCUGCCCAGCUCCCAGAGCAGGUCACCCUCAGCUAUGGCGUCUUUGAGGAGAAGCUCAAUGUCAUUAAGCUACAAGGCCCCUUCUCCCCUAAGGAGGACCCUUCCAGGUUCCGUUCCCUCCAUUGUCUCCUCUACCCAGAUACUCCUUGGUGCCCACAGCUGAUGGCCAGAUGAACCCUGAACGGCUGGGCAAAGUUUGGGCUGAGGCUUCUGGCUGUCCUUGGCCUCCCCAGGCAGCCCUGGGGACUCGUGGCAAGUGCUCUUUGGCUUGCUGUCCAGGUCAGCGCUCCACCGGCUCGACAGCACUUGUGUGAUGAGCUCUAGCUGCAGUGAUCCGCACAGAGUGCCCCGGAUGCCGGCUGCAGGGCCUGCUCCAGCCCUUCCCGAACAUGGCACUGGCCUCAACCAGCCCUCAGCCGCUUCCCCUCCAGCUGCCCUUCCUCCAAAGCUGUUUGGGGAAGACACAGCUGACUGACCCCACACCCAACACCGCGGCCUGAAGGUGCACCCACAGACCUUAUCCCACAGUGCCCCACAUCUUAGUCUGAGCAUGACAGGACCUCAGCAUCUCAGUUUUCUGAUCCAGAACUGCAGAACUGAAGACCCACAGAGCAGUCUUGCACCCACCCAUGACAUCUUGGGCUACAUCAUGGCACAGGUGAACCACCAGUCUUAGAAACACUCCAGUGGUUUCCCAGAGCGAUGGCUCGAUUGUUUUGUUGGGGGGAAAGAUGUGCAAACUUCAGAGGCUCCUCGCCGCCGCCAGACGAGCCGACAUGAGAGACCCCACGCUGGUCGUAGGUAUGACGUGACUUCGGUUUCAGCUAUUUAGGUUGUCCUUUCUAUUUUUACUUUUCCUCUUUCCCUGUGCAAAAUCCUACCUCUCCAAACCAGCACAUUCUACAGGCGCAUCAAAAUCCUCUUCACAGUGGAUGUUUAUGCCUUUUUCUGAAAUGUAAAUUUACAUUAAUAUUCUCAUCCCUACUUUAGUGGUUCAACAAGCCAUUUUUGUCUUACCAAUCCAUUUUCGUUAUUCAGGGCGAUAACCUGACAGCAAAUGCAUUUAAGGGCUUCCUAUGUGCCCGGCACCAUUCUGAGUGCUUUAUAUACGUUGUGACAGUUUGAAAACAUGGUCCCAAUUUUGGGGGACACUUCUAUUAAGAAGUGGCAUCUAUGUCCCUUCCCCUUUAAUCUGUGCUGGCAUUAGUGACUCACUUAUCACCAGUGGAAAGGAGGGGAAGUGAUGACUUGUGAUUUCCAAGGCCAGGUACGAAAAGGCCGUGUAGCUUCUGCCUGGUUCUCCCGGGACGCUUGUUCUGGAAAAAGCCCGGCUCCCUGAUCCUGCCAUGAUGGAGGUAAGCACUUUGGUCACCAGCUCCAGCAGAGCUAGCUGCCAACCUAGGGCACACACCAGGCGCCAGUUCUGUGAGUGAGCCAUCUUGUACAUGCUGCAAGCCCAGCUGGGCCAUCAGACGAUGGCAGCCCCAGAAUGUAUCUGACUGCACCCCCACAAGAACCCCAAGCGUGAGGUGCUCCGCUGAGCCCUUCCCGGAUUCCUGACCCAUAAAACUAUGAGCAGAAUCAAAUGGUUGUGGGCUUUUUUCCCCAUCACUAGAAUUUUUAAGCCAGAACAGGAACCCAAGACAUAGAACUAAUUUAGUUCUCGAAUUUUCAGAUACAGACAUUUAACCCCAGAGAGCUUAAGCAAGUUGCACACGUUUUCACGGCAGAGGGAAGAGAUGUGUGCCGGCAGGCUGAUUCUAAUAGUCUGCCACUUGACAACAAGGGGGUGGGGAAGCAAAGUUAACAAACGAGUAGUAACGCACAAAAUGCAAAAAUGUGUGCCAGGCAGGCUGACAGCACCCUGUUGAGGGAAGGUUGGUCCCUUUGGACCCACCAUCCCCGACUGAUGUACUUUGGAAAACACAUACCACUUUUAAGAACCCAGCGAUUUCUACAAAAAUCGCCAUUAAUUUUACAUUUCAAAUUUGCACAAUGUAAGUGGAUGAAAUUCUUCCACCUGUUAUUUUCUCCUCUAAAACUUCCACGCUGCCUGGGGGCGUCAGGGUUUUGAGACCGCAUGAGGGAAACCCUGACCCCUCGCCUCUUGGCAUCUCAGGUGUGGGAGCUGGGAAGCUUCCUGACAAAAAAAUAUUAAAGCCAUAAAAUGAAAGGACAUCAAAUUUAACUUUUGGAAGCACCUUGGCUUUCAUCUCCUCCAACCUUCCACCCAGGGCAAGACAAGGACAAGCCACGUGAGAGCAAAGCAGCUGCUCGGUAGGAUGGCCCCAGUGGUGCCCGUAGGUGGCUGGGGAUGAAUGGCCAAGGAACCGUAGAGAAAAUAUGGCUGUCAGAUCGCAGGGUCCGGGUGGUCACCGAGGGCUGGGAACGGGGUCACCUUCAUGGGCAUGUGACCCGUGCUGUCACCCCUGCCUUGAAGGACCCCACACUUUAAUGGCCUGCCUCACUAUCUUGAAAGCCUUAAUCAUUUUUGAAAAAGGGGGCCCGCAAAGUAUGUAGCUGGGCCAGGAUGGAGAGGUCUGAGAGCUGGCGCAGGAAUGAGCAUUUCAGGGGAGCAGGGCAGGCAAAGCCUCGGAGCCAGGAAGCCCGGAAUCAGCUCGAGAAGCGGUCACUUGCCCAAGACCACUUGUCAGGCAGUGAUAGCACAAGAAACUGAACCCAGUCUUGUUGGAUUUCACGGCACCUGGUCUGAAACACUUUGCUCUCCUGUCUCCUGGGACAGACCUCUCACCGGAGCUGCCUUCUCGACUAUUCCUACAAUCUCAGCCUUCUCUUCCAGGGAGCCUUCCUGGAUUGCUCUGGCCUAGUCACACUUGCCAUUCCCUCCUUCCUUCAUACUUCCUACCUAGCUGAGCCAUGGUCCUUGUGUCAGCCUGUGUCCUUUCCCUGCCCCUCCUGGCUAGAGUCUACUGUGGCUUCCAGGCUCCCAGGCCAGUCCGGACAGGGCCUCGCACCUGCAAGAAGAAUUUUUGGGCUCCGGCUUCUUGCUGGAAACCUCACAUGUAGAUUCCAUGGUGCAGUCUUUCUCACCUUCCCAUCCCUAGGGCUGGGCUCCUGCCUCAGUUUUCCCGUCUAAAACGCCAAGGAACUGUGGGAUAAUGGGAGUCAGACAGGCCUGGUUCAUAUUUUGUCUUGCUACUCACUCUAAAGCAAGCAGCUCAGCUUCUGCAAGCCUCAGUUUCUCCAUGUGUCAAAUGGGAGUAAAUCCAAGUGCUCAAGGUUGGCAACACCAGUCAUGUGGAUGUCACCUACCCCCUGAUACACAGCAAGGGCAAGGGCAUCACAGCUCUGUGCUCUUCUCCCGGUCCUGGGACCCAUGAUGUGAGAAAACAUCAGAUAAGCCCCAAGGGACAGGCUACAGAAUACGUGACCGGUACCCUUCAAAACUGCCAAGGUCAUGAAAAGCAAGAGAAGAAGUAGAACCCGUCGUAGAGCGGAGGAGACGAAGAGGACGGAAUGAGUGAAUGUGAUGUGGUCUCCGGGACGGGAUGCCGGAACAGAAAAAGGCCGUUAGUGGACAAACGGGCGAAUCUAAGUGGAGUCUAGAGUUUAGUUAAUAGCAAUGUACCAAUGCUAAUUUCUUAGUUCUGACAAACAUACCGUGGUUAUGUAAGACGUCAACAUCGCGAGAAGCUGGGCUAAGGGUACACGGCCAAACGCUCCUGCACUACCUUUGCCUUUUUUCUCGAAACCUAAAAUUAUUCCAAAAUAAGAUGUUGAUUAAAAACCAAACAAAACCUGCA